UACGUAGGCAGCGAGCGUUGUUCGGAGUUACUGGGCGUAAAGAGUGCGUAGGCGGUUUUCUAAGUUUGGUGUGAAAUCUCCCGGCUUAACUGGGAGGGUGCGCCGAAGACUGGAAGGCUUGAGUAUGGGAGAGGUAAGCGGAAUUCCUGGUGUAGCGGUGAAAUGUGUAGAUAUCAGGAGGAACACCUGCGGUGUAGACGGCUUACUGGACCAUAACUGACGCUGAGGCACGAAAGCGUGGGUAGCAAACAGG
rnacentral:rRNA from 1 species